UUAAAUGUGGGUAGGUGGUAUUUUGAAUGUUGGUUAGUAAAUGUGGAUAGGUAAGUUUGGAUAGUAGUUUGGACGUGGGUAGAUAGAUGUUGUUAACUACCAUGUGGGUAGUUGAAAUUUACAAAUGUUUCAUUUGCUAUUUAUUUUUUCUCAUUUUUUAUUUUAAUUACAGAGAAUUUUUUUUUUUGGUGUUUUUUACUUAUCAAUUAUUUUCUGUUUGCUCGGGAUUUUGUAAAAUCGUAUUUUUUUCGUUUAUUUAUAUAUGUAGAAGAGAGAGUUCGCAUGAAAAAUAAAAUUAUAUGUAAUUGUUGAUGUAAGUUUAUGAAAUUAUUUAUUGAAUGUAAUAAUUGACGGUAUAAAUUAAAAAAUUUGUUUAAAAGUUCAUUUAAAAGCGAGGUAAGUAGAAUUUGUUGAAUAAUUACAAAUUCAUUAAAAGAAUAAUUAAAAAAAUAUAUGGUAUAAUGUAAUUGAGAAUUAUAGUAAUUAAAAAAUUAAUUAAGUAAAAGAAACAUUUUUUGAUGUUAAUAGAUAAUUGAAAUUUUUUACAUUAGAAGUGGUAGUUGAUCGUAGAAAAGAAAUUAUAUUAAAUGUGUUAAAUUUGUAUUUUUUUGAAGUAGUAAAUUCAAGAAAUUAAAUGUUAUAAUUAAAACAUUAAAAAUAAAUAUUUAACAAGGAAUGUUAAAAUAUAUUUACCCGUCGCAUUUUAUUUUAUUCUUGAAUAUGGAAAUUUGAUAUUAAAAUUCUAAAUAUAAAAAAUGUAUUUUUGAGUAGAAUUUUGUAAAAGAAUAUUAUUAUUUAAUGAAAUUAAAAGGGUUACGAAAAAUUUUAAGAUGACUGGUUAUAUAAUAAUAAUUUGUAUUUAUUGUAAAAUAUUUUUAAUUUUAUAAAUAAUAAUUUUUUGAAUAUAAACGUUUUGGAGACACUCCGCGCAGAGUAAAGGAACGCUCCGUGCUGCGCAGCUGGGACACUCCGCGCAGCGCGGCGCGCAGAGUAAAGGAACACUCCGCGGAGCGCGGAGCGUCCCAAAACCUGGGAAACUCCGCGCUACGCGGAGUGUUCCCAAUGGGAUGCUCCGCGCUGCGCGGAGCGUCCCAAAACCUGGAACGCUCCGCGCAGCUGGAACACUCCGCGUGUGCUGCGCGGAGCGUCCCAAAACCUGGGAAACUCCGCGCUGCGCGGAGUGUUCCCAAUGGGACACUCCGCGCAGCGCGGAGCGUCCCAAAACCUGGAACGCUCCGCGCAGCUGGAACACUCCGCGCGCGCUGCGCGGAGGGAGUGUCCCAAAACCUGGGACUCUCCGCGCUGCGCGGAGCAUAAAUGCACCAAGAUCACCCCGGCCGAAGCCAUCUCUGCGCAGUCUGGUGCGUGGUCACGCCGAGCAGCUUGGAGUGAUUCUGCCGAAGGAUUCGUGAUUUCUAAAUUCAAAAUUUUCAUAUUCUUCGAGAUAUUAACAAACUUGAGAUUUAGUAAAUAUUUUUCUAAAUAUUAAAAAACUUGAGGUUCAGUAAGAGUAGCUGUUCAACGGCUAGUGAUAGAUUCAAUAGUUUUUGGCCAAAUGAAAAUGAUUGAGAUUUGCCAUUUUAGCUUUGAUAUUUAUAUUAUUGAAGAAUUUGUUUGGAAUUUGUAUCCAAAAUAUUCUUUGAAUUCCUCUACAUUUUUUCUUAUCCCAAGACAUGGUGGAAGUGAUGGAUUGCAUGCGUUCGAACAUUCCAGUGACAGACAUAAUAUGUUAUACUAUUCAUAUAUAUAAUGCAGAUUAAAUACUCGUAGUAAAGAAAAGUUACACAUAAUUUUGCAUGAUUUUCCUAAUAUAAUAGAAUUGAUAAACCACAUAUUUUCUAUACGAUAAAUAUAUUCGAAAUUUAUUUUCAUUGGAAAGAAGAUUACCUUUGUUCCUGGUGGUUGAACUUAGUUUCUUUUUGAGAACUUUGAGAAUUGAACGUGUGUGAAAUGGUAGUGAAAGGAUGGUUAAAUAGUUGAAUAUGGGUAGUUAAAUAUGGGUAGGUAGUAUUUUGAAUGUUGGUUAGUAAAUGUGGAUAGGUAAGUUUGGAUAGUAGUUUGAAUGUGGGUAGAUGGAUGUUGUUAACUACAAUGUAGGUAGUUGAAAUGUACAAAUGUUUCAUUUAGUAUUUAUUUUUUUUCUCAUUUUUUAUUUUAAUUAGAGAGAAAUUUUUUUUUUUGUUGGUGUUUUUUACUUAUGAAUUAUUUUCUGUUUGUUCUGGAUUUCGUAAAAUCG
rnacentral:lncRNA from 1 species